GACGUAGGGCGCGAGCGUUGUCCGGAUUUAUUGGGCGUAAAGAGCUCGUAGGCGGCUUGUCGCGUCGUCCGUGAAAACCUGUGGCUCAACUGCAGGCUUGCGGGCGAUACGGGCAGGCUAGAGUUCGGUAGGGGAGACUGGAAUUCCUGGUGUAGCGGUGAAAUGCGCAGAUAUCUGGAGGAACACCGGUGGCGAAGGCGGUUCUCUGGGCCUGACCUGACGCUGAGGAGCGAAAGCGUGGGGAGCGAACAGG
rnacentral:rRNA from 1 species